UUGAAUGCAUGCUCUUUCACGUGAAGUAGAGUAUACAACAUGUACUCACUAUAAAUGUUCACGAUAUGUAUUCUAUUUUUAUAAAUACAAAACACUCUCAAAGACGAGAAGAGAUUUUCCCUUAGUGACUGGAACGAUAAAUACACCCAGGGUUUGUUUUGAUCAUCUCUCUCUCUCUCUUUUCUCGUUAGUGAUUGAUAAAGAGAGACCUCAAGAAUUAGCAACAACUUCACUACUCACUCAGGUUCUGAAAUCUGAGAGUCUUGUUGUUCUGUUGUGCUCUGACUCUAUCAGUUGUACUUAUGAUCGAAUCAAUAACAAAUAAUAGUUAUUAAAUUGAACUUGUUGUGGAGGGAAGGAACACACCUCUAUAGCAACAACAAUAAACAAACAUGUCCAGGUUCAAGGAUUCACACAAGUAAUUAAAUGAAAACAACGGUGGCACUUAUGAAAGGGUUCAAUGUCCUCAGGCACUCAUUUUAAAAGAAGAAGGAUUAAGCCCUGGAAAAAAUCUCAAGACACAAAAGCAGUAGUCCUGAUAAAUCUCUGUUUGAUAUUAUUUCUUAAUAAAGUAUUGUAAAUUAGUACAAUUUCCAUAACAAUA
rnacentral:lncRNA from 1 species